AAUCCAUACAUGCGGUUUUUCCAAUUUCUCAAACCGCAGUCGCACCGCGAAACUAAAAAUCGCAGAACUCGCACUGCGGAAAAUGGUGCGAUGCGGUACUGUUUUUUCGAUUUGGACUAUUACCAAUAAUUAAACUAUCACAAAUACAACAAAACUUGAGUAACAAUUGUGAAAAAUUAAAUUUCAAUCAACGUAAAUUAAAAUAUUUAAUGUUUACUAAUAUUGGCAUCCCUACUAAUAUUAUUUAAUGGAUUUAACAAAUAUUUAGUAAUGUAAUAUGGGACGUACACUGUUCACUUGAUGGACCUUGUCAAUUCACACAACACUAAAAUAUUAUUUUAAAAGAAAGGACCGGUUGAGACAUGACAUGAUACGCUUCCCAACGAAACAAUCAGCCAUGCCCUAUUAUGUUGUACGAAUUAGGUUUUGAAAUUGGGGUUUAUUUUGGCACCAAGAUUGAUAAUGUUAGAAAACUUUUUAAAAAAAUUCAUUUUCCCACCACUAACUCAUUUGGAACAGCCUAUAUAUAAACAGGUGCCCCCUUUACUUGUGAGUGACACACAUUAUCUCCACCAUAGUUAGAAAAAAAAAACAAAAAUUUGUACACCUCACUCAGAAAUUAUAGUACAUCGCACAUGGUGGCUGGUGGUGGAGAAGACUCAUGCGGGUUCGAUGGGGGUGGUCCGCCUUGGAGAAAUUCACUUCAGGGACACCCCCAUUGCUACUGUGGUGAUCUAGCUUAUGUUUGGACUUCUAGUAGUAGAGCAAAUCCUGGUCGUCGAUUCUUCGGAUGUCCACACUAUGAGAACGAUGAAAGUCGAGGAUGUGAUUACUUUUGUUGGAUCGAUAAAUCACAUGGUAAGAGAAGUACAGAUGCUACACCUGGAUUGCGAAACCAAAUCAAGAUUUUCGAAGAAGAUAAGAAACGCAAUGAGAAUGUUAUUAGAAAAUUAAUUUUUAUCAUUUUUAUUUGCCUUCUCAUCAUUGUCCAACUUAUAUUGCGUUGAAGAUAUGGGUUGUCCCAAAAUGCAAAUGUUUUGUAUGUCUUAUGUUCUCAAAA